GCCGGCCUAGCUCAACGGUAGAGCAAUUGUUUUGUAAACAAUAGGUUCCGAGUUCGAAUCUCGGGGCCGGCU
rnacentral:tRNA from 1 species